GUCGCGGCGCGCAGAGCGCAUCCUCGGCCGGCCCCGGGUCAGGCGCCGCGGGGCUGCAGCUUCUUUUUCCAAAACCCAGGGGUCUGACGGGGUGCCAGCGCCCAGGGGUGUGGGGCCUGCCCCAUCGGCACCAGGGAGGGGGCCAAGUGAGUCAGUCCACCCGCCCCCAACAGCCAAGGGCUCAAGGCUGCCGCUCUGACUUCCUCUGUAAAGCGUCGACACCCAGAAGGCCCCAAGCACUUCAUGCAGACUGGUCCGUGCGUGUCAAUGGUGAUCUUCCCAACAGACCUAGGACGUCACUCCGAUUAGCAAAGUCCCAAGUUACAGGAAUGGGUCAAAACAAGGCUGCCAGUUGCCUGCUCCUAUACUUGCUCUCUCAGGUCCCUCUCACUGGAGAGGGACUCACUCCUGCGAAGAUGUCCUGCAGAGCAGAUCCAUGCCAGCCCCUGGGUAACCUGCUCCCUGGCUUCAAAGCAUCCAGCAGGAGAAAGCACCUCAGAGGCGGAGAACAGACCUCAGCGAUUUGAUUUCUAAGCACCAGGCCUGCAGGCAGCAGCAAAGGGCACAGCGUGGGGCCUCGGCAGAGGCAGGGGCUUCCUGCCUCUCCCACAGCUGACGCCAGCAGACUUUCUCCAGGCCCCAUCGGGAACCGUCUUCUGGUCUCCCCGUCCCCAGACCCUGGAGAUGAUGGGAUGGCAGAAAGAAACCACGGCCUGAGUCAGGGUAGCGGCCUUUUCUCUGCUCAGCCUCUAACGAGGUGGGCGGCCUGGGAUCAUCCCUUCCCGGCUUUGAGCCUCAGUUUCUCCAUCUGCAUCACCAGAGAGGAUUUACCGGGGAAGGGCGUCCCUUUGCGAUGGUCCUGACGGCGGCCCAUGGGAGCCUCCAGAGGACCCGGGUCCCUUCGGGUGAACCACAAAGACGGGAAACACAGAGGACUCUAGCCACCUAGGGAGCAGGUGGUGAAGGCAUGUUCAUUUUAAAACUUGAUCGAGGUACCUUAUAACAAAGGACCUUUUCCGGGUAAUGAAAAAGAGCUGAAGCACCAGGGGCAGGAAAGUGUUAAUGAAUCUCUCCCCCUCCAACCAAAAUAAAAUGAAAUAAGAUAAAAAAUCCUCAACGACCCCCACCUCUUGCCAAGCCUGUCCAUCCUUCUCAGGGGCGGGGUUUUGGCUCCACAACCCAGCCUUCAUUUGAAUUGUGUACGUGAAAUCUACUACCAAAAGGCAUCUGCAGAACAAUGCAUUUAAUUUUAUUCCAUCCAUGUUGUUUUUAGGAUAUCUAUAAACUAAAGAGACCAAAGUAUGAGGAGGAGAGAUGGGGGGAUGGCAUGCUCUACUCGAUACAUAUUCUUUCUGUGUUGCCUGCUUUCAGUGAGGAAAUAUGGGUGGAUGGGGAGGGCACAUAAUCAGAAAUUAUAAAGUCACACGCAAAA